UGGGGAAUUUUGCACAAUGGGGGAAACCCUGAUGCAGCGACGCCGCGUGAUUUAGAAGGCCUUCGGGUUGUAAAAAUCUUUUCUAUGGGAAGAAAAUGACAGUACCAUAGGAAUAAGGACCGGCUAAUUACGUGCCAGCAGCCGCGGUAAUACGUAAGGUCCGAGCGUUGUCCGGAAUCAUUGGGCGUAAAGGGUACGUAGGCGGGUAAGCAAGUUAGAAGUGAAAUCCUAUAGCUCAACUAUAGUAAGCUUUUAAAACUGCUCAUCUUGAGGUAUGGAAGGGAAAGUGGAAUUCCUAGUGUAGCGGUGAAAUGCGCAGAUAUUAGGAGGAAUACCGGUGGCGAAGGCGACUUUCUGGCCAUAACCUGACGCUGAGGUACGAAAGCGUGGGUAGCAAAUAGG
rnacentral:rRNA from 2 species